UGGGGAAUAUUGGACAAUGGGGGAAACCCUGAUCCAGCAAUGCCGCGUGAGUGAAGAAGGCCUUCGGGUUGUAAAGCUCUUUAGUAGAGGAAGAAAGGGUUAAGGUGAAUAGCCUUGACCGAUGACGGUACUCUAAGAAUAAGCACCGGCUAACUCUGUGCCAGCAGCCGCGGUAAUACAGAGGGUGCGAGCGUUAAUCGGAAUGACUGGGCGUAAAGGGUGCGUAGGUGGAUGUUUAAGUGAGGUGUGAAAGCCCCGGGCUUAACCUGGGAACGGCAGCUCAUACUGGAUAUCUAGAGUAGGUAAGAGGGGAGUGGAAUUUCCGGUGUAGCGGUGAAAUGCGUAGAGAUCGGAAAGAACACCAGUGGCGAAGGCGGCUCCCUGGUACCAUACUGACACU
rnacentral:rRNA from 1 species